rnacentral:rRNA from 11 species
CUAUAACGGUCCUAAGGUAGCGAAAUUCCUUGUCGGGUAAGUUCCGACCUGCACGAAUGGCGUAACGACUUCCCCGCUGUCUCCAACAUAGACUCAGCGAAAUUGAAUUGCCUGUCAAGAUGCAGGCUUCCCGCGGUUAGACGGAAAGACCCCGUGCACCUUUACUACAGCUUCACAGUGGUGCUAGGGGCGACAUGUGUAGAAUAGGUGGUAGGCUUUGAAACUGAGGCGCCAGUCUCAGUGGAGCCGCAAUGUGAAAUACCACCCUUGUCGUCUCUGGCAUCUAACCGCGAUCCUUGAACCAGGAUCCGGGACCCUGUGUGGC